CAGAAAUGAGCUAGAACGCAACGCUGUGGAUCUUGCACAUUCCAUCUGCCCACCAGGAUGCAGUCUGGGAACGGGUUGCAGUGAUGCUUUAAGAACUGGACUUCUCGGCGUUCCCCGGGAGAGAGAGCAUUGACUUGGUCUGUCUGCUGCUGGAGAAGAGAACUGUGAGGUCAGGUCCUGGGUGUCACUUGCUCAGCACUCUACCUCUGGGACCUGCGUUUGGCACCAACCACAUCCGGGACCAUAUUGCAGACACCACUGGGCCAACCAGUCGCCGCUCAGAGAAUGCUGUGCCCUCCUUCCCCCCUGGCACGCAGCCCGGCCACAUGCCUGGAGCUUCUGGUUCUUCCUGAACACACAGAAGCACCUCUGUGGUUAUGGGAUCUGGCAACUGCACGUUCAGGUGAGGUUCACGCUGUGGGGCGAGCACUGACUAAUGGGAAACAGGAGGAGGGGUGAGCUGACCAGGGCUGGGACUAGCGUGAGGUGAGGGAGGCAUUGAUGCCCCAAAGCAAUCGGUCACCCACUCAGGCCCCACCUGUACUCCAGCCGCUUCGCUUUUCUCACGCUUUCUCCGCCCCCGGAGUUGGCAGAUUCAGCUCGCUCUGUCCUUCUCCCAUGGACUGCUCUCUGAGAGCCAGUUUCUCCUCGCAG